CAGGAAAGAAUAAACAAUCCAGAAAAAGAGAAUGAACUCUUGAACAAAAACUAUGAUAAGCUGCAUAAGUGUCUUCUGUAUGACCCAUGAACAGCAAUGGAAAUCAAAGGAACAGCAAAUGAAACUGCAAAUUGCUAAACUAGAGAUGGCUAUCAAAUCUGAUUUAGCAGACAAAAAUGCAAUCCUUGACAAGAUCAAAGUAGAAAGAGCAUAUGAGACAGGAGGUUAAACAAGAAAGGCUAGAAGAUGAUAAGGUGGAGAUGGCUGAAGAAAUUUAACAGGAGGCAGAAAAGCUCUCACAUCUGUCAGAGGAGCAGUUAGCUGACCAAACAUCAAUUACUUCUGGAAAUGAGAGAGAAAUAACUGAAGGAUUGGAACCAGAAGGUAGAAUUCAUCUUUAUGAAUAAGUAACUGUAUUUUGUUAAUAAAUCUAUGUCUCUUUCCAUUUUCUUAAGCAUUUCUUACUAGCAGUGGGAGCUGCCUUGUUAUGAGAAGCUCCAUGACAGAAAUUAUAUUCUGGCGUACUUUAUAGCUGAAGCUGGGUAGUGGAUAUGGUGGUGUUAUUUUCUUCCCAAAUGGAAACUGUAUCAUAAUUGAAUGCAAAAAUCUGGUAUCUGACCUAGAUUCAUAAAAUAUUAAGGGAAACCUGGCUUCUAUUUUAAAUGUCUUUAUAUUCUCCCUUAGAACUAUGCUGUUCUAAAGACCAUUUUAAUGAAUAUGCUCCUUUUGUCUGCAGAUAACAGCCAAUGCUGCUAUUGGAAAUCCUUUCAGACAGAGAGAGAGGUAGUAUGUCUUAUCAUAUUCGUGACUUAAAGUUGUUAGAGGCAGAUUUAUUUAAAGAUUAUAAAAGGCAGGUCAUCCUGUUCCACCUCUGAGCUUAAACUGUUUAUCAUUGAAGUAGACCAAGUCCACAAUACCAAGUUUACAGUAAAAGCACAAACAGAAUGCUAGAAUUUCAUGUUCAUUUGUUUGCAGCUUCUGUGUAAGACUACAUUAGAAAAAUUGGGAAAAAUAUGAUGUUGAAUCCCUGGUGUGUUUAUAAGUAAUUUGCUUCAGAGGAGAAAAACCCAAAAUGCUCUGAAAUAAUCCACCUGCAUACAGAAUUUUUUUUUUCUUUUAAAAAAGGAUAAAUAUAUCUUUAUGUGUGCAUGGUGUUAAACAUAGUCAGAGGAAAUCCACAAAUUCAAGCCAUAGUCCUGUAUAAAGCUAACAGUUGUUCGUACCUCAAUCCAUCACGGGACUUCUAUCAUUCCAGUCCUCAACUUUCAUCGGGGAAGCACUGCUUUUUUAUUUUGACAAACCAGAAAAAAAUGCAUCUAAAUACAUUUAGAUGACUAUAAAGGUCAUUGAUUUGCAGGGUUAAUCUUCUGCAAGGAAGAGAAGAUUUGCCUGGCAGUUAUUCUUCAUUUGUUAGUAAAGCACCUAUAUUGUUGUCAGACUCCUCAGCAAAACUCUGAUGGACUGCAGUAAAGGGGUUUAACCACAUUGAUUUUUCCAAUGUUUUUCACAUCAAGGUGAUAGUCCUCUUGAAGCAAUAAAAUCUGACAGAAAUGACUGUAUUAUUUCAAGUCCAUUAUCCAGUAAUAUUAAACAGCUGAGUCAGAAUGUAUAUGGCAAUUAUUUGGCCAGACUAAAAAAUAUUUUAAACCUAAUGCUGUCUAAGAGUAGCUUUGCUGUAUCUACCAUCAGUUUCCUGUAAAGUUAUAUAUGUACAGUAUCAAAUCACUUCAGUGUACAUCUUUUUCUAUUAUUAUUUGUGGGCAAGUGCACUAAUCAUGUUCUCUUGAUUUAUGCUUAAAACCAGCAAUUAAUUACCACAAAGACAUAUAUAAAAAAUAAGACCACAUUAAUACAAAUUUGGAAAAUUUUCUUGGAACAGUGUUUCAGUAGAAUAGUUCUGAAAAAAAAAAUCAUAUUUUCUAAUCUAAAUUUGACUGAACAAUGUUAAAAAAUAUAAAACUAGUAAGUAAAAUUGAUGACAGUGCUUCUAGCAGUUAAUACUUCUCUGAUCUGUCUCAGCCUUCUUUUAAAGGACCAGGGCUAUACUGUUAGAUCCUAUCAGACUUCAUGGUUUGUUAUGUUCUGCAGUGUGAUAUCCUAGAGGUAGCUUGAUUUUUUUUAAAUGCUCUUUUCAAGGCUGUGAAACAUCCUACAAAGCAACAAGAAGCAAUUCUUUGUAUGAGAAAUGUAGCUGUUCUUUUGUAAAAGCUGUAGAAGAGGUUUUGAAAUGCUAUCACUCAUGUAUUCUUCAGAAAAAUGCAGAGAGUACUUUUGAAGAUGGAAUUGCAUUGUUUAUAUGUAUAAUUUUAGAAACAAUUGACACCUGUAAUUUUGAGAACUAAAAUUAGUGCUACUCAUCUCUAUUAAUUCCAAAUAUAAUACACUUGUUUAUAAUUUUCUGGUCAUGUAUUUUAUCACAGUCAUUUAAGAGCUCUUCUGUGAGAACUUUGUGUAGAUUUAUUUCAGGUUCAUCAAUUUCUACCUUUCCCCAUUGAUCUGUUCUUGUGGUAACAAAAAUGCAUGUUCAUGAAGGGUAGAUGAAACAAUAAAACCUCUGAACUAUUAAGACAACAAGUAUAUUUGAUACAGAUUAGAUUUUUAAAAUAUGCAUUGGUUUAUAUGAAUUCUUGGGUUAAUUAUGGAAUACAGCAUGUCAAAAUUGUUACUGAAUUUGUAUUUUUUAAGAUUAAAAAUCACUGCCUUUUAUCUUUUGAGAUAAAUAUCCUGCUGGUAAUCAAACAGUGUAAAUAAAACUUGUGAUUUUUGGAGAUCGUUAUGCUAAUUAUCCCCUAGAUCUGAGUUAUAUGCCAAACUGUUUAAGCCAUUUAAGAUCACACUGAGGUUAUUUUGCAUGUUGCAAAUUAGACAGUUCAUGGUUAUUUCUUAGAUAUGUUGAUCACAAAGGGUAUCUAACAGAUUUUCCACUACUUAACUGUACCACUUGCUUCUUUCUCUUUUCUUCUUGUCUAUGAUGUAUGAUUAAUCAUAGAUUACUUCAUUUUGUUUCAUUUCAUUUACAACAUUUAUGAGCUUCACUUUGUCGGUAUGAAAUGCUUGUCCCCUUCUUUCCUUUCCAAAGUGGCAUAAUUAGUGUUAGCAUCUUUUUUAACAGGCUACAUAAAGUUUAGUGGCUGGAUUAAAUCAAGUCAUUAACAUAAUGUGCUAUACAAUUUGCCCCUAUCUCUUUUCGUUUCCAGUACAUCAAAGUGCCACAGAGUGCCAGUGUAAUUGGGCCUUGCUAGCUUGUCAGGUUCAGUCAGGCUGAUGGCUGCUGCUUUUACUAAAAAGCUUCCAGGCAUGAUAAUUAAUAGAGAAAAGAAGUCUGAGAAAUGUAAAAGUUUGGACAGUUCUCUAUGAAUAUUUCAUACAUUUGAAUAAUCAGAAGUUAACAUUAUCAAUUUGAUGUAUAAUACAUUGAUUAAAAGCCUUGUUUCAGAUCCUCAAAAUAGACAUCAAAACUGGGAAUUUGCAUUUUCUUUGGCAUGGUCUUUAUAUUAAAAAAAAAAAAUUAAAAAAUCUUUUCUCUUCCAUCCCCUCCUCCUUUACACUCCCACAUCUACACCAAAUCCAUACAGGAAAUUAUAUAGCAUUCAGUUUUCACAAUGAAAUUUACUGCUGUCAACUUCCAAGUUGUCUUAAAAUGUGCCAUGAGGCAAUUACUGGCAAACCCAAUUUGUUUGGUAGUGGUUCUGGUUUUUGCUCUCUUUUUUUCUUGCAGAUGCCACAAGUGCAUUCUCUUGCUCUAACAGCAGUUUACUGAUAGCAGCCAUUAUCUGUACCUGUAAAUUAAGAUAUCAAGUUGUAACCAAUUUUGACAUGGAAAUCUUUCUUAAACAGCAAAAAAGCCAUACCAAGUGCUCAUGGUUCUCCUGGUGAAGGGCACAAGCUUGUGCUAAGGCGAGAAGUUGUAAAGCUUCAAGGUUAUGUAUAGCAAAUCAAUAAAAACUAUUCCUUUUACUAUGGUUUUUUUUGGGUACAAUUACUUGAAUAUUGAAUUACUUGUAUUUCCACCUAUGUGCUAGCUGUAUUCAUUUAAAAAAGGAAAUUAUUUGGAUAUUGUAUUGCAGUUUUAAAUUUUGGCUGAUACGAUUCCUCUUUACACUUAUUUUCUGCAGGACCUGAAUGUCUUUAGUGUACUUCAGGGAGAUUUUUGAGUGUUCAAUUUUUUAUUUCUCAACUUGGCUUGUUUUGUAGAUUUAAUCUGAAUUUAGUGAAUUUAGAGAAUUAAAUUUCAGGGUUUUAGUAUUACCCUGUGUUACUGACCUGGCUCAAUUCUACCAUGCCAGAAAUACUAAUCCUUUGUGUUCUUCUACUCCUGUAUAGAAGUAACCUCUGUUUCUUUGUGUUUUUCUUCUGUAAAAAAUUGGGGAAUUAAAAGUGCUGCACCGGCUUAUUUAAUAAAACAAGAAAUAAAAUCU